AUUGAACGCUGGCGGCAGGCCUAACACAUGCAAGUCGAGCGGAUGAAGGGAGCUUGCUCCUGGAUUCAGCGGCGGACGGGUGAGUAAUGCCUAGGAAUCUGCCUGGUAGUGGGGGAUAACGUCCGGAAACGGGCGCUAAUACCGCAUACGUCCUGAGGGAGAAAGUGGGGGAUCUUCGGACCUCCCCCUAUCAGUUGAGCCUAGUUUGGUUUAGCUAGUUGGUGGGGUAAGGGCCUCCCAAGGGGACGAUCCUGAACUGGUCUGAGAGGAUGAUCAGUCACACUGGAAAUGAGACACGGUCCAGACUCCUAAGGGAGGCAGCAGUGGGGAAUAUUGGACAAUGGGCGAAAGCCUGAUCCAGCCAUGCCGCGUGGGUGAAGAAGGUCUUCGGAUUGUAAAGCACUUUAAGUUGGGAGGAAGGGCAGUAAGUUAAUACCUUGCUGUUUUGACGUUACCAACAGAAUAAGCACCGGCUAACUUCGUGC
rnacentral:rRNA from 1 species